GUCAGUUUGACACUCAACCUGAUAGUCAGAAGCCUGUAUGUUCAUGAAGAAUGUAAGUGGAAUUGCAUUAUCAUUUGAUGGAUAAUUUGCAUAUAUUUAUGUUAUUUGGCCUAAAUUAUAAUUUCUCUCUUUCACCAUGGCUUAUGUGUGUUAUACAUGUUAUGUAUCAAAUAUUGGUAAUUAUAAAUCAGUUUACAAAUUCCUGACAUCUCUUCCUGUUAUUAUUCUGUUUCAGCAACCAUACAUACCUACCUGUACUCUGUGCUUAUCAGGACCUUGAAUAAACGUCGUCAAAUGCAUACCUGCCUGCCGUGUCCUUACCGACACCUCACAGUACAUAGUCAAAUCCUUAAUCCUGAUCCAGCCAUCUACCUCAUCCUAUUGACAGUCCUUCACAAAAGUGACAGCCUAACACAAACCUUCAUUUACGGCUGCCAUCGAACAAAUAUCAAAGUAAUUAAAAACAAUUACCAGUAAUUGAGCUUACUUAAAAUCUUUUGAAACCAAAAAACUUUUAAUUCUUUCAAAUAGUGGGAAAAAAAAUUACUCAUUCGACCUUUUCUCUGAACCAUGUCUGUAACUGGAUAUAAGAAUUAGAAACAGUCCUCCUCCUGCUCCUCACUCUGCUCUCCAAUCUCCACCUGUGGCUGCCUGAUAGUUUUUAUCACUGUUGCACAAGAUGGUCAAGAUAAAGCGUGCCACCAUUAAUCUUUGCAAGAGCUGCUCCCAAACUUUAUUUCACGUUGAUCCGAGCUGUUUAGGAAGUGAAGUGAAAGUGAGAGGGUGUGCCUCAAUCAAUGUAUAGUACGUAAAUGGGGCAAACAUGGCCAACAGCACAAUACUAUUUAGUCUUUGCUCAAUCAUUGACCCUCAUUUUUUAAUCUUGCAUAGAACUGAGUGCAGAUCUGAGUGCAGGAUUCGUCGUAUGAUAGGACACACGCCCUUGUCAAACGCAGCGCUCCACAGUGGCACGUGUGCGUGUGUGCACAAUGUUAAAACGGCCCUCCUGCUCUGUGGCAGUGUUUCUGGGCAGAGUUAUCAAAUAGGCUUAUCCACUAAGGACAUAACAAAUUUAUUCUAUUUUAUUUACAUCUUAAUCUUUAAUGAAAUCUGUCUGAUUGUGCUUAAUGACAGGUUUGAGGUUUGUUUAUCAAUUAUUUUGAGACAGACAUUUGCUGCACCGCAAAUCUGCACUUACUGAAACUUGCGUACACAAUGUGAGACCUGUCGUGAGAUUUGAUCGUAUCGUACGCUCACGUUCCAAUUAAUAAAUGCCAAUCCUUGUGUGGUAAUGGUCGUACGGACAGUUUUCAGCCGUACGCUUAUUUCAUAAAUGAGGGCCAUUAUAUCUCUAUGAUCUGAUUAAUUGGCCGGCUCUACCCACAAUUCAUUAGGCUGAUCUAUGAAAGGCCAAAGCACAACACUACAAGACUAUAGAGGGGACCCCUGAUGUAUUUGACCUUUGUAGGUUACUCAAAGGUUUCAACGUUGGACGUCAGCUUCAGUUUAUUACGUCAAAGUAAAGUGAUUAGCUGUUAUCAAAGUUAAAGUCUUAGUAGAUAGACUGAUUUUAAGCAGUUCAAUUUUAAGGGCUAAACAAGGCAGAAAUAUUGACUAGCCAACCAAAUUUAGAAAUUUCUUGACAUGGUUGUAAGAUAGAAACAACUUGCAUAACAACUCAGGAUUUUGGUUCCAAAAGUCCCGUUGCAGCAGAACAUAAUACAGAACAUGGUACUGAAAAUAGCACACUGUCCAGCCUGAGUUGGUACCUCUCAUUGAGGACAAGGACAAUGUCUGGUUAAAUCCAGUCAGAAAGGUGUUUGUUCCUCACACUGAAGCACCUCUUGAAUUAAGCCCUUGAUUAGCAUUUGCAUUAAUACAUUAGGAUUCAUCCAUUCCCACCACAUAUAGGGUACACGUGUUACUGCAAUACUUGUGAGGCCGACCUUAUAUGACACUGUUGACAAGUACAGCUCUAGAAUUGGUAAUCCUACUUCUGUGCUGCAUCCAUGAAAUCUUAAUGAAAAGCAAAAGUGCCUUUUCUGUGUUUGAUGUGUUUCAGGUCAUCAAGAUUUCCUGAAGAGGGUGGCAAAGGCCAGUGUAGCCCGUGGCAAGUACACGCUGGUGAGAUUGCCACUUGAGGGUAAAACCCUGCGAGCCUCGUCCUCUAUCGAUCCUGUAAUAAGGGGCUAUUUGGAUGCAGAGAAUCAACUGAAGUAUCUUGUAGGAUUCAUGAAACACCUGGUACCUCGGGAGAGUGACAUGACGCAGGAAAUCAUAAGAUUCAAUGUUGACUCAACACUAUCCCUCUACCAGGAGGGAGAAAAGAUGAACACUCAGUGGGCUCUUGUAUUGAGCAGCAGGAAAUGUGAAGUCAGAUUAUCAGCAGGAGGUUGGCUAGGG